GGGCACAUUUUGUAUGGAAGACUAGUGAUUUUGUUGUUUGGGUUAAGGAAUUAACAAAAAAUCUCUUGUCUUUCUACAAAGUGAAUGCUA
rfam:Phlebotomus papatasi Contig39674.1, whole genome shotgun sequence.